rnacentral:misc_RNA from 1 species
GAGAAUCCAUCUAGCCAUUUUUAUGUUAAUUUAUCUCUCAUCUUUCAAAACUUGUUAAGAGAAACUAAAAGAAAUUAGCUUAUUAAGCCUUCUAAAGCAUAUAUGAGCUUAUCUCUAAGUCCGGAUAAGGAUAAAGGAAGAGAGUUACAAUACCUUGACAGCCAACGUAAAAUUCAGUUAUUUUUCAUUAGAGGACACGAAAGCAAACCAUCAUUAUAUACUCGCAAAGAGCCAAAGAUAAAACCAUGUUGUUUGCAGCAACUGAUUAACAAGAAUCCAAACUAGAUUAUUCUCGAUUCCAAUAAUACAAUUAGGAAGUUAAAAAAUAAAAAACAAUAAUUAAACAGACAUAAGAGCAAAUUAGAGGUCUUAAGUAUGGAAUAAUAACAGGUCAACUAGUGGCCACUAACAACUUAAUAUUUGGGAGCAUCUUAAUCACUUGAAUGCAAAUUAGAUCAUACAAGUGGGGCGGCUUCACAUGGUGUUAAAAUAGUUUUUGAUAUUAGAAAAAGGACGCCCUUUUCAUACCAAAUAUGAAGUUUUUAAACCUUUUCAUCCAUAAUUUUAAGCCUCCCUAAGAGUGUAUUCCAAGUGCAGAUGAGCUAUUAAUCUUACAAUAUUAUCGACACCAAUAGUAUCAAAAGUUUAGAAACCGCCUAUCAAAACACUUUACCUUUUGUCACAAGGCCAACCUAAGUGACCCAAGCAUUAAGCCAACCAGAAAAUUCUGAAUGCUCGAAUAUGGGAGUGGCAUUUCAUGAUCCACAUAAGGAACAACCACACCGAUUUUUGUCUCUCCAUUUUUUUGAAGUGUGUCUACUAAAGCUUUAUCACUACCGAUUGGCUUCAAGUCGAAUGAAGUCAUUCACCAUCGGUGCCAGCAAACAGUCUCAUAAUUAUAUUUAUUAAAGCUUUAUUUGAAACGUAAGCUAAUUAGCAUAUAAAAUAACAACUCAAUGCUAUGUAUUUCUAUUAGGG